GGCAGUGUAGUAUCACCCUGCAGCUCUCACCUGGCUUCUCACUGAAGCUAAGCGGGUUUGAGCCUAGCCUGUACCUAGAUGGGAGACCUCCUAAGAAUUGGCCCCCAUUGGUU
rnacentral:rRNA from 1 species